rnacentral:rRNA from 1 species
CCUAGGGUGGCAGCAGUGGGGAAUAUUGCACAAUGGAGGAAACUCUGAUGCAGCAACGCCGCGUGGAGGAUGACACUUUUCGGAGCGUAAACUCCUUUUAUAUAGGAAGAAGAUGACGGUACUAUAUGAAUAAGCGCCGGCUAACUCCGUGCCAGCAGCCGCGGUAAUACGGAGGGCGCAAGCGUUACUCGGAAUCACUGGGCGUAAAGAGCGUGUAGGCGGAUUAAAAAGUCAGAAGUGAAAUCCUAUAGCUUAACUAUAGAACUGCCUCUGAAACUCUUAAUCUAGAAUAUGGGAGAGGUAGAUGGAAUUUCUGGUGUAGGGGUAAAAUCCGUAGAGAUCAGAAGGAAUACCGAUUGCGAAGGCGAUCUACUAGAACAUUAUUGACGCUGAGACGCGAAAGCGUGGGGAGCAAACAGGAUUAGAUACCCUUGUAGUC